AUGGCUUCAGAAUAAAUCAUUUGCAAUAAACAAAAACCACACACACACACCUCCAUCAACUCCUCAAAUCGCAAUUCUUUUAAUUUUUUUUGGGGGUGGGGGGGAGGGGCCAAGAGAAAGACAGAAAUCUCUUAACUGUUUGAGCAAACAUGGAAAACAUGCCAUAUGAAUAAAGCACUGAAUUGGACCACUUCCCUGACUACUUCCCCAGCCACUUCCCCAACCACUUCCCUGACCAUGACCACUUGCCCAACCACUUUCCUGACCUUGACCACUUCCUUGACCACUUCCCUGACUACUUCCCCAGCCACUUCCCUGACCUGGACCACUUCCCUGACUACUUCCCCAGCCACUUCCCUGACCUGGACCACUUCCCUGACUACUUCCCCAGCCACUUCCCUUUAGCAAACAUUGCAAAUAAAUUAGUUGCAAAACGGUAUCCACUCAUUUGCAGACAGUG
rnacentral:lncRNA from 1 species